rnacentral:rRNA from 1 species
GUGGGGAAUUUUGGACAAUGGGCGAAAGCCUGAUCCAGCAAUGCCGCGUGCAGGAUGAAGGCCCUCGGGUUGUAAACUGCUUUUGUACGGAACGAAAAGCCUGGGGCUAAUAUCCCCGGGUCAUGACGGUACCGUAAGAAUAAGCACCGGCUAACUACGUGCCAGCAGCCGCGGUAAUACGUAGGGUGCAAGCGUUAAUCGGAAUUACUGGGCGUAAAGCUUGCGCAGGCGGUUUUGUAAGACAGUGGUGAAAUCCCCGGGCUCAACCUGGGAACUGCCAUUGUGACUGCAAGGCUAGAGUGCGGCAGAGGGGGAUGGAAUUCCGCGUGUAGCAGUGAAAUGCGUAGAUAUGCGGAGGAACACCGAUGGCGAAGGCAAUCCCCUGGGCCUGCACUGACGCUCAUGCACGAAAGCGUGGGGAGCAAACAGGAUUAGAAACCCUGGUAGUCC